GAGUUCCAAGGAGUUCUGGCAAAGCAUGUUGAAGUCUGAGAGUCAAACUCUGCAUGCUUUCUUAACAGCUACAGGAAUUAUACCAUCAUGGUUGGCUCUGCUUCACUUGGCAUUGAGAAGCCAAGAUUACUGCCAAAAAUAAGAUGACACAAAUACAGCACUGUCUCCUCCCUACCUAGGUCUUGGAUCACGAAGCAUGGCAGCAUUUAUGUUCCAGGAUAGUACUUGAAGAACACGCUUCACAGGGACACAGGCAUUCCUUAGGCUAAUGCAAGCAUCUGGAAGAAAGCCCAUCUUCAGAAACACAACUCAUCUGAUCUUUGAGAGUCCCUGUGAUAGAGACAUACCACAUGCAAUGGUGGAGGACAAUUCAAAAGCAGAUAUGCAAAUGUUCACACAGUUUCCUUGAAGGCGGUUAAGAUACCUAUCUAUAAAGCCAAGAAGUGACUGUGAGGUUGAGCCAUCAGUGCCAGCUCCCAAAGAGAAAACGUGCCAAGAGGAAAUUCAGCAGAAAUAUGGUGUACCAUGUUCAUAUGAAAGCAAAUCAGAAAUAAAUCUUGUUGCUUUUAAAGGUGGCAAUGUAUCCUUUGUAUCUAGAAAAGAUAUUUUGCUCAGGAGCGUUCUCUGAGCUAUAAAAGUUGGAGUGGAAAAAUUGAGUUUUGAAUGAUGAUUUUGGAAUUAUUCUUAUCUUGAAGCUGUAAAAUGGAAUAAUAUGAUUAAGGCACAUGUGACUCAUACAGCUCAUAGGGUAUAUAAGUUAGAAGGAAACUAGUAUGCUGAAGCAAGAAAAUAAAUAGAAUCUCGUUCGAUUGGGAAGGGUCCUCAAAGAUCAUCUAGUCCAACUCCCCUGCAGUGAACAGGGGCAUAGGCAGCUAGAAGAGAUUGCUCAGAGCCUGGCCCCUCCACAUGGAUAGGCCCCACCUCAUAUCAAGUCACUUGGGACCCCAUUGGCUGCCUCAGGGUAGCAUCGUUUUUUCCAGCCUCUUCUCCAUAUUAGGGUAGAAGAAUGGUCCCAGCACCUCAUGCAGGGACAGCACUUCUAUGGACACACUUGGUUCAGAGUUUCAUGCAAAAUUUCUUUGAACUAGAUUAGAAUUAGAUAAAUAGUGCUUUCUAUUCCUGAACAGCCAUUGUGCACCAAAUAUUUGUGAAGCAGAUUCAGCAGAAAGCAGUAACAAAGCUGUUGCUUGUGCUGGCAUAGUGAAAACUAUUUACAAUUUGCUUUCUUGCAUCCCAUGAAGCCAAAAUACCCUACAAUGACUCUCUGGUACAAGAUGGACAGACUGUGAUAAUGAACAGCAGAUGAGGAUAUUUGUGGACAAAGUGGAUCAAGAAUCAGUCAUCACGCAGCAAUUGGUUUCACACAUCGUUUCACUUUCAGUGAAUUCUAUUGUGUUCAGGCCAUGUUAGCGACAAAGAAUGUCAGUGCGUCUGAAAGAAAACCAUGCCAAUCCAACUUCAAUCCUGCUCAGCACAGCAAUACGUAUGUUUGAGAGAACCAAUUUUAUUUUAGAUAUGAAGUGUGUUUAUGCAUUAAUAUCAUAUUUUUGUAGUCACAUCUGCAAAAUUUAAAACAAAUUUGAGUGAAACAUCUCAGAAAAUUAAGCAUAUAAACAUCUGCAGGACUAAAAAAUGCUACAAAAACAUGUACUUAAUAUGAACAGGAUGAUUGAUAUGCAAAACAGUUUAAAUGUUAUAAAGUCCAGGUCCAGUUUUCUGGCUUCGUUCAGCUUUGAAAUAAACAAAAAUGUACAGGUGUGCUCUAGCUUUUCUCAGUGACACAGAAACUAGGAAUGGAUUCAGCAUUUAUCACCAUUUAUAGGUCUCCACCCAUAUGCAGUGAAUGGCUCAUACCUUGGGAACUUUGAAUGAUGUAGUUCAGGAUGUGGCUUCUGGAUUGGGAUCCAUUUUUGGCUACUAAUCUUCAUGAAAUAUAUGCAAAAUCCUUAUCAUUUUAAAGCUUGUCUUACCAAGAUUGCUGUGGUAGUGAGUGAGGUUCUCAUUCCAUAUGAACUUAUCCCAAAAAAUGUCAUUGACUGGAUCACAGGUUGGUGCUUAGCAGGAAGAAAGCCAGACUAUUUAAUGUUAAAUUCCUGUAUUGAUCUAAAAAACUUGAUUGUUCAGUUUGUUUCUUUCAACAUGUAAUUUGAUUGUAUAAGAAAGAGGUGCCUUUCGUAGAUAUAUGGGCCACAACAAAAGCACAAGCAGACAAAAAGUGUAUAUCAGAAGUGGAUUUUUUACAAGGAUUUUCAACAAACUGCUGUUUCUGUUUAUCUGAUUCCUAAAAAGUUUUAAAUAAGUUAAAAA